UCCUCGAUAGUCUAGUGGUGAGGAUAUCUGCUUGUCAUCAAUCGAUUCGCAGGGGACCGGGGUUCAAUUCCCCGUCGAGGAG
rnacentral:tRNA from 2 species